AUUGAACGCUGGCGGCAGGCCUAACACAUGCAAGUCGAGCGCGCGGACGGCGCGUGAGUAACGUAUGGGGAAUGCCCGAUAGCGGGGGACAACUACUGGAAACGGUAGCUAAUACCGCAUACUAUCGGAUAAUCCAUAUGGGAUUAGCUAGUAGGUGAGGUAACGGCUCACUUUGGCGCCGAUCCCUAGCUGGUCUGAGAGGCUGAUCAGCCACACUGGGACUGAGACACGGCCCAGACUCCUACGGAGGCAGCAGUGGGUAAUAUUGCACGAUGGGCUCAAGCCUGAUGCAGCCAUGCCGCGUGUAUGAAUAAGGCCCUAGGUUUGUAAAGUACUUUCAGUCGUGAGGCGUUACCGUCAGGAGAAGCACCGGCGAACUCCGUGCCAGCAGCCGCGGUAAUUC
rnacentral:rRNA from 1 species